GUGCUCGCUUUGGCAGCACAUAUACUAAAAUUGGAAUGAUACAGAGAUUAGCAUGGCCCCUAUGCAAGGAUGGCACACAAAUUCGUAAAGCGUUCCAUAUUAAA
rnacentral:snRNA from 1 species